UGGCUCAGUGGUAGAGCACUUGCCUUGCAUGCAUGAAGCUCUGGGUUCGAUUCCUCAG
rnacentral:tRNA from 1 species